GACAAUACUAAUCAAUAAACGAUAUAGACCUGGAGCCAGUGAUAGAUUUUCAUGACCAAGUCCCUCCCAACCGAAACUUCGUUAAAUGAAUAAGGGACUUAUGCUAUGAAUACUCGCGACCGUCAGCUGCGACUCCGUGGGUGGGGUGGGCAGUGACAGCCUCCCAAAGAUGAAG